rnacentral:lncRNA from 1 species
GCAUGACUACCUUGAGACUUAAUCAGCUCAACCCCCUGAUUGAGUCAGCUAAGUAGCAGAAAUUAUCAAUUAUUAUGAAUAUUCAUCAUAAAAUUUGCCACACAUAUAUUACCUAAAAUAUUUCUCCAAAUAUCAACUCACUCUAGAAUUAAUAACCAUCAAAAUUCAGCUUCCAUAUCACUAUCAUCAUUUCAAUUCCUCCAAUCAUUUUUCUUCUUACUUCACAACUA